GACGAACGCUGGCGGCGGGCCUAACACAUGCAAGUCGAGCGAGUGGCGGACGGGUGAGUAAUGUAUGGGGAACUGCCCGAUCGAGGGGGAUAACUACUGGAAACGGUGGCUAAUACCGCAUACUCUCGGAUGUACCCAGAUGGGAUUAGCUAGUUGGUGGGGUAAAGGCUCACCAAGGCGACGAUCCCUAGCUGGUCUGAGAGGAUGACCAUCCACACUGGAACUGAGACACGGCCCAGACUCCUACCAUGUACAGCAGUUAAAAAUAUUGCACAAGGGGCGCAAGCAUGAUUCAGCCAUGCCGCGUGUAUGAAGAAGGCCUUAGGGUUUUAAAGUACUUUCAGCGGGGAGGCGUUACCCGCAGAAGAAGCACCGGCUAACUCCGUGCCAGCAGCCGCGGUAAUUC
rnacentral:rRNA from 1 species